CCUACGGGAGGCAGCAGUGGGGAAUAUUGCACAAUGGGGGAAACCCUGAUGCAGCCAUGCCGCGUGUGUGAAGAAGGCCUUCGGGUUGUAAAGCACUUUCAGUUGUGAGGAAAGUUUAGUAGUUAAUACCUGCUAGAUGUGACGUUAGCAACAGAAGAAGCACCGGCUAACUCCGUGCCAGCAGCCGCGGUAAUACGGAGGGUGCGAGCGUUAAUCGGAAUUACUGGGCGUAAAGCGCACGCAGGCGGUCUGUUAAGCUAGAUGUGAAAGCCCCGCGCUCAACGUGGGAGGGUCAUUUAGAACUGGCAGACCAGAGUCUUGGAGAGGGGAGUGGAAUUCCAGGUGUAGCGGUGAAAUGCGUAGAGAUCUGGAGGAACAUCAAUGGCGAAGGCAACUCCCUGGCCAAAGACUGACGCUCAUGUGCGAAAGUGUGGGUAGCGAACAGGAUUAGAUACCCUGGUAGUCCACACCGUAAACGCUGUCUACCAGCUGUUUGUGAAUUUAAUUCGUGAGUAGCGAAGCUAACGCGAUAAGUAGACCGCCUGGGGAGUACGGCCGCAAGGUUAAAACUCAAAGGAAUUGACGGA
rnacentral:rRNA from 1 species